rnacentral:sRNA from 1 species
CAGCGACAGUGCUUCGAGAAUGCAAAACU